AUUGAACGCUGGCGGCGUGCCUAAUACAUGCAAGUCGAACGCAGUGGGGACGGGUGAGUAACACGUGGGUAACCUCCCAUCAGAGGGGAUAACACUUGGAAACAGGUGCUAAACCGAUACUGAUGGAUGGACCCGCGGUGCAUUAGCUAGUUGGUGAGGUAACGGCCCACCAAGGCGAUGAUCAGUAGCCGGUCUGAGAGGAGGACCAGCCACACGUGGACUGAGACACGGCCCAGACUCCUACGGGAGGCAGCAGUGGGGAAUUUUGGAAAAUGGGGGAAACCCUGAUCCAGCCAUCCCGCGUGUGCGAUGAAGGCCUUCGGGUUGUAAAGCACUUUUGGCAGGAAAGCGGUACCUGCAGAAUAAGCACCGGCUAACUACGUGCCAGCCGCCGCGGUAAUUC
rnacentral:rRNA from 1 species